rnacentral:rRNA from 1 species
AUAGCGUAUAUUAAAGUUGUUGCAGUUAAAAAGCUCGUAGUUGAAUUUCGGGAUCAAUUAAUUGGUCGUGCCUAUGGUACGUACUGAUUUUAUUGGUUUCUCCCUUCUGACGAACCAUGAUGUCAUUAAUUUGGUGUCGUGGAGAAUCAGGACUGUUACUUUGAAAAAAUUAGAGUGUUUAAAGCAGGCUAACGCUUGAAUACAUUAGCAUGGAAUAAUGAAAUAGGACGUUUGAUCCUAUUUUGUUGGUUUCUAGGAUCGACGUAAUGAUUAAUAGGGAUAGUUGGGGGCAUUAGUAUUUAAUUGUCAGAGGUGAAAUUCUCGGAUUUGUUAAAGACUAACUUAUG